rnacentral:lncRNA from 1 species
GUGACUUGGCCAUCCUAACUCCCUUUGGGUUGGACAGUUGAGUGGGACCGUCCUCAGUUGGUGAGGAUCGUGGUGAUUAAUAUCAUGGCAGGCUUCACCAUGGUAUUUUGCAUCGACGUUUAGACUACUGUUAUUUUUUGCUACUUUUUAAACUCUGAAACUUUACUUUAUGCUUUUGAACUCUUGAGUUGUAAUAACUAAAUGUGGGACCUAUAAUGAAGUAUCUGGAUUGUUGUAAUCUCUGGACUCAUCUUCGUGCGAGUAUGCUUUGUUUCGAUCCGAGACAAGUGGUUUAUCGGGUGAAACCUGACGGACUGCUAUUUUAACUUGAUUAAAGUGUCUGCUCGCAUAUGAGGCGAUGUUGAGUAUACUUUAGCCGGGUUAAUUUGAGCGGUUCCACUACAUGCGGGGAUCUAGCUUCACGAGCAUUACAAGAGCCAAUACAUCGAGUACGAGCUGAUUUACUCCCAUUCUAGAUGGAAGCAACAGUGGUUC